GUCCUUGUAGCGCAAUACAUAAGCGCGUUGGACAUCUAAUGCAAAGGUCGUGGAUUCGAAUCCCACCUGGGAUG